CAUCCCUCCUGCGAAAAAACCGGUGGCAAAAAAACCCACUCCUAUCGAUCCCCUAGAGACACAGCGCUCCUCUCGCGAACAAGGCCCCGAUCCGCUCUUCCUCCUCUCCCGAGGAUACGCAGCCGCCGCCGCCGAUCUGCCGAUCCGGGCAUCACAGCCGCCGCCGAUCUGCCGAUCCGGGCAUCACAGCCGCCGCCGAUCUGCCUAUCCGGGCAGACGCGGCCUUCACGGAUCACGAGAACGCCGGCGCCGCCGGCUCCUCGGAUGCGUCGCCCCCGGCGCCUCGGAUGCGUCGCCCGUCACCACCACGAUGGCACCUCGCUGAUGCCGCUCGGCAUGGAUUGCCGCCCUGAAGGGGGGCAGGGGGGCGGCCACCGCGGGCCCCCAAACUCUAGGGGCCACAUCCCAGAUCGUGGUCCUUCCCUCCCUACGAUGCAAGUCACGCCCUACGCGGCGGCCGCCAGGAAACAAAUGCGCGAGGCCGCAAGCGGAUCCAGCGGGUUGCGACAUUCAGACGGCCUACCGGGAACAUGAUGGUUGGCUUGUUGCUUCUGAUCUGAUUGCUCCAGGACUCCUUUUGUUUUUCUGCCACAAAGCUCCUUCCACCUAUGAUAUGUGUAUCAAGCAGUCGAUCACAACAGUUCACCAAUCAGCCCUAUUUGCUUCACCGGCCGGAUCUCCUAGCACUGCCUGAUAUUAUAUCAUCUGGAAAGUAUCGAUUUGGUAAUGAGCAAGAAAAAGGAAAAUAGGCUUAUGGAUGAAUUAAUAUAAUUACAGAGAGGAACUAUGGAUAAAUUUUAUCAAGAGUAAUAGGGGCACUUCGACGAGUUGGCAGUAAUUCCCGUGGACGAACCAACUACUGAUGUUAAGAAUCAAGUAAGUGUUUAUGAUUCUAUUUGUUAUUUGAAUCAACAUUAAGAAGUUUUGUAGAAAUUAUUUUAGUGCAUUGAAUAUUACGUCAUAAAUUGAUGUGUAUUAUAAUACUACAUACAUACAUUUUUUGAUCGGUUACUACAUACAUACAUAUACCGGGUGGGAGGUCACUUAGCAAUCUCAACCUUUGAUAUUGAUAUAUGCAAACAUAUAUAUGAGGGGCGAUGAGGGGCCCCAUAUUAGUUUUCGCGCCGGGCCCCCGAAAUCUCAGGACCGGCCCUGCAGGGCGGCCAGACCAGGUGGCAAAUGUGGUGCAUGAGUCAACCUCACAACGUACUAUGGUGUCUAGGAUGGGCGUGGUGUAACAUGACGCUUUCUAGAAGCAUGUUAUCGAACAUCUCCACAGAAUCCCGAGCUUGCCUAAUUCCCAAAGCAUGUUAUCAUAUUACGGAGGACAACUCUCUGAAUUCCCAAAGCACUAAUCUUGUCCUAAUUGCUCAUAUAUUGAAUCACUUUUCGCUGCAAAUAUGUUUUCUAUGCGUUCCUUCUUACAACCAGGACAUUUACUUCCCAAAGAGUUGGUCAACUAAAAAGGACAAGGUGUUUGAGACUGCUCUUAUCUGCUCUGAAGUUUCCCCUUAAACACAACUUUUCAGGUCUGUUAUUCUUGGUCAUAUAUUUUGGAGUUUUUGCAACUCAGUGUGAAAGAGUUGGGUAACCAACUCAAAAUGCGGUGGAUAGAACUCAAAAUGAGGUGGACAGUGAUCAAUGUGCAGUCCAUUGAGUAUUAGUUUCAUGAGCACUUCAUAUUGUUAAUUGUGCUUCUGUCUAUUAAUCAAGAGUGUAUUACUAAAACUAUAGAUUGGUUGUCGUUGAUGCGCCUAUUGUACUGUAAUUAUUUAGUUCCUUCACUUCUAAGAUGAUCUCAGGUUUAGUAGUGAUAUAAAAAAGCUAUACAUUUCUAUGUUUUUCCUCUGCUAUUGUGUUAUUUCAUCAUUUUCUGUUCCUUACGGUCUGCCACUCUUUGACUCCCUUUUUGUGCUCAAAUAUUUUUCAAUGUUCCUUGCAGGAUCCAUAUGAGCUUGGUUACGCACUAAAUUAUUCUGGAGGAUCUCAGGUAAUCGUUGCAGUUGAAGAUUACGCCCCUGGUCAUGAUUCUCAUUUUCAAACUUGCCAUUCAUCAUAGGUUUUGUAUGGAGUGUAUUCAUGCAUUAUAUUGGAGCAGGGACCUGCCGAGGAGGGGGAUACCAUGGGGAGGCGAACCUGGUAAAGUAGGGGUGGAAAGUAGACUAUAGUUAUGUUAUCCGUGGCAAGGACUUGGUGGAUUGUUUACCAUUUAGUUGUGUUCAACACUGAAAAAUGGUAAUAUCAUUUUUUUGUCCUUUGCAAAUUAAAUUAUUAAUCCAUAACAUUAUUUUUAUAUAUGGGCUUCUAUUAGCGCAACUGGAUUGAUGCAGCGGAGAAUUACCUUCAAAAUGAUUAAACGAAUGCGAAGAUUGGCCUUCUUGAAUUUUGACCACGUCUAAUAACACUUCUGAAUUAUGUCUAAUCUCCAUGUAGUUUGGUCCGGUUAUUUCAUCAACUAGCCCACUACUAUGUGCUGGAAGUUAUAUUGUUACUUAAUACAGGCUACACAUUCUAAACAUCUUUUUGACUGUGUUGUCAGAUUGAUUUAUCCAAUGGAACCUCACAUUAAUAAUAAAUUCCUUACAAUAACAAUGUGCUUUAUUUGAAAAUGGUUGAAUAUAAUUACCAAAGUUUGAUGGACGUUCAUAUGGAGAGCGCAAAUGCAAAUGUUCAUAUUGUAUUGACGAUGCUCCCUUUUGAAAUUAACAUGCUUUGUCAAUUUAUUUUCGACAUGAUGUAUUAUCUUAUUACUUUUUAGCCUAUAGGUUUUAUAUGAGUGAAAAUUAAAUAUGACAGUUCUCAGUCUGGUCUUGCCAACCCCUCCAUGUCAACCAGGUAUGCAAUGCAUUAUAUAAGAUUAUUUUUGUUGUUUUUCCUUCUUGUUAGUAUUUUUAAUUAUGGUUAUUACUCUUUGAAAUAAUCAACAGUUUAAUCUCUACUAUUAAAGGGGAGUAAGCAGGUCGUUUUUUCGGGGAGGGUGAGGCACAACCUUGUGAAGGAGUGGAGAAGACAGUGUGCUCUGGUCCUCCUCCAAGCCCGCCAGCGACUUAUCAUUUGUUGCUCUUCCCUUACAAGAUCCUUGAGGUCAGGUGUGAUAACUAGCGACACGUGGUGGAGCUUCUGCGGUAGGGCAUCGCCGACGGCAACAUCACCUGCAUCAAACCCUCCCUGGUCGCCUUCGAGAGUGUGUGCACCCGACCUACAAGCUUGUUAUGAUGCCCUUUGAAUUUCCGAGCAAGUUGCAACCUUUCCAGAUUUAUCAACACUGGUCACAUUAGUAGUCAAUAUGGUUCAGAUGCAUAAUAGUACGUACUUCGUUUCCUUUUCGUUGCAUACAUGGCAUCUUGUGAGGAAGUGUUCCUUAUAUUAUGUAACUAGGGAUAAAUAUGACGAAGCCAACAGUAAAGGAGCUCAUGUAAAAAAACUGAAGUUUAAAGGAAAUUGUUAUAAUAUAUAUAUCAAUUCCGACAUUGGUAUCUAAAGGAUGGGUCAAGGAAUAUUUGUCCCUGA